AAAGAACAUAAGCAUAAAUUAUCUUACAAUAUUGAUCUCCAACUAACUCCAUAAUUCUAUUUACAGAUAAUGUAUCCAACCAUAGCUUGGAAAAAUUACUUGAAUAAAAUAGUAAAAUUUACAUAAAUAUUAGAAGAAAUAUUCUACCAAUAUCUCCUAUAUGCCUACUUUCAUCAUAAUAAAUAAAUAUGCAGGAGAACACUUUGUUGCUCAUGAGAGAAUCAAAUAGCACAACACUGAGACUCAUUUCAUACCGAUUAUGGAUAAAACGACUAACAGUAGCAGGCCAGUUGCUUGCUCAAAUGACAUGGUGCAGAAGGAAAUAUAUGAUUUACAUUCAUUACAAACAAUUUACAUUGUUAAAAAAACUAUUUCACUAUUUCAGUCCAAUAAAUUAUGGACAGUUAUAUCAGAUGGCAUUUACUUUUAGGGAUUGAAACUAAAAAGAUAAGUCAGAGAUGCAUCACCAAGUCAUCCAAACAGUCAAAAGUUCAUAAUGAUUGCAUAUUUAUAACGUUCUGAAAGCAAUGCCUAUAUAAAUCUAACCCCAAUAUGAG
rnacentral:misc_RNA from 1 species